CGUGUGGUUCUAUUUUGUUGGUUAUGGGACCGCCGUAAUGAUUAAUAGGGACAGUCGGGGGCAUCAGUAUUCAAUUGUCAGAGGUGAAAUUCUUGGAUUUAUUGAAGACUAACUACUGCGAAAGCAUUUGCCAAGGAUGUUUUCAUUAAUCAGGAACGAAAGUUAGGGGAUCGAAGACGAUCAGAUACCGUCGUAGUCUUAACCAUAAACUAUGCCGACUAGGGAUCGGGCGAUGUUACUUUUUGACUCGCUCGGCACCUUACGAGAAAUCAAAGUUUGUGGGUUCCUGGGGGAGUAUGGUGGCAACGCUGAAACUUAAAGAAAUUGACGGAAGGGCACCACCAGGGGUGGAGCCCGCGGCUUAAUUUGACUCAACACGGGGAAACUCACCAGGUCCAGACACAAUGAGGAUUGACAGAUUGAGAGCUCUUUCUUGAUUUUGUGGGUGGUGGUGCAUGGCCGUUCUUAGUUGGUGGAGUGAUUUGUCUGCUUAAUUGCGAUAACGAACGAGACCUUAACCUGCUAAAUAGCCCGUGUUGCUUCUGCAGCACGCCGGCUUCUUAGAGGGACUAUCGGCUCAAGCCGAUGGAAGUUUGAGGCAAUAACAGGUCUGUGAUGCCCUUAGAUGUUCUGGGCCGCACGCGCGCGACACUGACAGGGCCAGCGAGUUCUCCCUUGUCCGAAAGGACCGGGUAAUCUUGUUAAACCCUGUCGUGC
rnacentral:rRNA from 1 species